rnacentral:snRNA from 1 species
GUGCUUGCUUCAGCAGCACAUGUACUAAAACUGGAACAAUAAAGAGAAAAUUAGCAUGGCCCCUGCGCAAGGAUGUCAUGCAAAUUUGUGAAACAUUGCAUAUUACA